GCAGAGCCCGGCACCCGGGAACCUCUUCCGGACGUUCCGCCUUCGCGCACGGAUGCGCCCGACGUUUGCACCGAGCCCGACCACGGUGAUUUAAUGCUACCCUGGAGUGUGCACCAGUGUAAGGUGCUGUAAUGCUACCGCUGCUGUUGACACAAUACCAGAAAUGGAACCAUCUCUUCAUAUCUGGUGCUUUGGAACAACAGUAAUCGACCCUAUAAAGCAGAGCUGCAAAACUCACAUCUAGUAGGGGGCCGCCCAACUCUCUGAAAUGUAUCAUUUUACUUCAUUCAAUGGUAGCACAUUCACAGCUGAACAUCACUAAUUUUCCUACACUCUAACGUGCAGCUAAGAGUGUUUUUAGAAAAAAAAUUGACAGAUAUUUCUUUCUGUCCAGAAAUAAACAAAUUGGCUCGUAACUGA